rnacentral:rRNA from 1 species
UACAGAGGUCCCAAGCGUUGUUCGGAUUCACUGGGCGUAAAGGGUGCGUAGGUGGUGAGGUAAGUCGGAUGUGAAAGCUCGGAGCUCAACUCCGAAAUGGCAUUGGAAACUACCUUGCUCGAGGGUUGGAGGGGGGACUGGAAUGCUUGGUGUAGCAGUGAAAUGCGUAGAUAUCAAGCGGAACACCAGUGGCGAAGGCGGGUUGCUGGGCCGACACUGACGCUGAGGCGCGAAAGCUAGGGGAGCGAACGGG